rnacentral:rRNA from 1 species
CUCUUACUCCAAGCCACUUGGGGAAUAGCUAGGCUCAGACACCGAUGAAGGACGUACCAAGCUGCGAUAAGCAAUGGGGAGGCGCAUGGAGCCUGAGAACCAUUGAUUUCCGAAUGGGAAUCCUAUCGCAAGAUAAACAGGGCUUUUGCUCUGUUGGGGAACUCCCCGAAGUAAAGCAUUCUAUUAGGGGAAGGAAAAGAAAUCAAUCGAGAUACCGUUAGUAAAGGCGAUCGAAAGCGGUAUAGGGUAAACCGAAUCCUUUGCUGUAAAGCAGAGGAGAUGUGGAGUUUGGACCCUGGUACAUCCUAUUCUCUAGAUUCGAAGGUAGAUGGAAAGCUAUGCCAUAGAAGGUGAUAGCCCUGUAGAAGAAAGGAGAACAGGAUGAUUCGGGGUAUCCUGAGUACCAUGUGUUGGAAAUCACGUGGGAAUACGGGGGGCAUAAACCUCUAACCCUAAAUAUGUUCUGAGUCCGAUAGUGUAAUAGUAGGGUGACCGAAAACUGAAAAGCAUCUCUGUGGAGAGGUGAAAAGAGCUUGAAACCAGGUGGCCAUAAAACCGAUAAGGCGCGAAAGAGCUAUUUCCCCCGCAAGGGGGAGCAGGCUCAGCGUUUUAUUCGUCCGUGCUGAAAAACGGGCCAGGGAGUUCUGAUCAUUGGCGAGGUUAAUCAUUAAAAAAUGAGAAGCCGCAGGGAAACCAAUUUGGAUGCACUCCGCAAGGAGGAGAUCCAGGAUGGGCUCGUCCGUAGUCAAUGGUGUGAAACCCGAAGCCUGACGAUCUAAUCGUAAGUAGAUUGAAGCCUACCUUAUGGUAGGUGGAGGAUCGAACCGGUGCUGAUGUGCAAAUCGCUCGGAUGACUUACGUUUAGGGGUGAAAGGCCAAUCUAGUCGGGGAAUGGCUGGUUCCUCCCGAUACUACUCGCAGGUAGGUCUCGGUGGAGAAGGAUUUCUAUGUAGAGAUACUGAUUUGGUGCUUAGGUCCCGAAAGGGAUCGGCAUCUUGUCAAACUCCGAAGUGGAGAUCUUCGUAGAAGCCGGGGGUGAGCGUUACAGGGGUAAGCCCGUAAUGCGUAAGGGAAUGCAACCCAGCCUGAAAUUAAGGUCCCUAAAAGUUGGCUAAGUGCUAUUUGAAAGGAAUUUAAAUGCUAAUACAGCUGGAAGGUAGGCUCAGAAGCAGCCAUCCUUUAAAGAGUGCGUAACAGCUCACCAGUCUAGUGUUUAAGUACUGAAAAUGGACGGGGCUCAAGCCAACUACCGAUAUUUCAGAAUACCCGUAAGGGUAAUUUGGUAGGGAGGUGUAGAGCAUGGGUAGAAGUAGGGGCGUAAGUUCCUAUGGACCGUGCUUCUAAUAAAAAUCCUGGGAGGAGUAGCAGCAAAGACAGGUGAGAAUCCUGUCCGUCGAAAGGGCAAGGGUUCCUCGACAAUGUUCAUCAAUCGAGGGUAAGUCGAUCCUAAGUUAGCCCUUAAUCGGAGCUAGCGAAAAUGGAAAGCAGGUUAAUAUUCCUGCACCGUAAGGUUAAAGUUCAGAAGUUUUACAUCUAGAUAGCAGAAGUAGGUAUACUAGCCUAUCUAAGCAUUGAGGGAAAAGGGAGUGUGGUAAUCACGAGAUCUUUUCUAAGGUGUGAUGGGAUCUCCGUUUGGAGGUUUUCUGCGAUUUCUAGGUGUUAUUAAAAAGGCUUCUGAAGCAUCUUACGAUCGUACCUAGAACUGACACAGGUGCCCCUGGGUGAGAAGCCCAAGACGAGCCGGCGUAAAUUUAGGCAAGGGAAUUCGGCAAAUUAGCCCCGUAACUUCGGAAUAAGGGGUGCCAGAGGUGAAGAUCUCUGGUUGCAAUUGCAAGGGAACUCCGACUGUUUAACCAAAACAUAGGUGGUUGCUAGAUCGAAAAGGUUAUGUAUAACCACUGAAUCCUGCCCAGUGUCGGUAUCUGAAUCUCCCUUUCAAGGGAUCGAAGGACCGAUAAACGGCGGGGGUAACUAUGACCCUCUUAAGGUAGCGUAAUACCUUGUCGCUUAAUUGGCGACUUGCAUGAAGGACCAACGAGAGUUCUACUGUCCCUGCCUGGAGACCGGCGAAACUGACUUACUGACGAACAGUCCAGUAUCUUCCACCUGAAAGCGAAGACCCCAUGGAGCUUUACUGCAGCCUGUGGCUAUGACGCGACUUUAGAUGUGUAGGGUAGGCGGGAGACGUUACCAGGGCACGCCGCUAGACGUGUUCCGAGUCGACGAUGAAACACCGCCCUUCUGAAGUUGUGCCGUUUACCUCGUAAGAGGGACACCUAUAGGUAGGCAGUUUGGGUGGGGCGCCACGCCCUCCAAAAUAUAACAAGGGCCCCCAAAGGUUAGCUCAAGUAGGUCAGGAAUCUACUGUAGAGUGUAAGGGCAAAAGCUAGCUUGACGCGAAUAUGCUUAACGAGUAUUCGUGAUACGAAAGUAGGGCCUAACGAACCAAUGAACCUUAUUUAUGAGGGUCAUUGAUAAGAGAGAAGUUACCCUGGGGAUAACUGAGUCGUCUCCAGCAAGAGUUCAUAUCGACCUGGAGGCUUGCUACUUCGAUGUCGGUUCUUCCUAUCCUGGUGGUGCAGUCGCUGCCAAGGGUGGGGUUGUUCGCCCAUUAAAAGGGAUCGUGAGCUGGGUUCACAACGUCGUGAGACAGUUGUGUUGCUUUUUGGUGGAAGUGCGAGGAUACCUGAGGGGAAGGUUCCCAAAGUACGAGAGGAACUGGGAACCGGAGCCACUAGUUUAUCUGUUGUCUAGCAAGGCAUAGCAGAGUAGCCACGCUCUAAUGGAUAAGAUCUGAGAGCAUCUAAGAUCGAAGCCAGCCUCAAAAAGAGGUAUCCAUAUAAGAUUACUCUUAAAUGAAGAGUUUGAUAGGAUGGGGAUGUAAGAGGGAAGCCUCGGCGACCUUUUUAGUCCACCAUUACUAACAAUCGAGAGUAUGUUGA